rnacentral:siRNA from 1 species
UAAAGUAUUACGAUUUUGGGUCUC